AAUGUAUACAUACAUAUAUUAUAAUUUAAUAUAAAUACAUACAUGAUAGGUAUAAGAACCCAUUUUAUUUUUAGUAUAUAAUGGGUAUUAGAUACAUAAAUGGAUAUUUUUACACGGUUGGUACAUUUUGUUUAUCAUAAUAUUAAUAACAAUAGGAAAAUAUUAUAAUUUAUUGAUUGUAUAUACAUAAAAUUAUAUUACGAAGAUAGAUAAAAUAAUGCUGUAUCGUUGGUCACAUCAAGAGAUAUCAUAUAUGCUUUUAAGUAUUAAAGGUAGUCGAGGGACUCAAGUUUUUGAUUUUUAUCGACGCGCGACUGUCUGUUCGCAAUCACUUCCAAACAUGUUCCAACAAUAAUAAAACAUUGAACUUAUUACCAUACUCGUGCCUAGUACAUUUUCAACCAUAAUAGUAGUAUAGUCUCGAAUUUAAAUGAUCGCACUGCACCUGUAUGUAGGUACCUACCCACGAUUUUUCGAGGGGGAUUUUUCAACGUAUACCUAUAAUAGUACCUAAAUGGAAAUUUUGUCUAAUAACUAAUAACGUAAGUAAAAUAUAUGUCUACAUCUAUGUUAUUCAAAGCCUUUAUCUUGAGAUUAUUGUUUGCAAAAUACAUAAUUUUUAGUUGUAGGUGUAAUUAUUUGUGUAAGUAUUUAAAAUACAUAAUUGAGUAAGUAAUGUAAAUGUGCAACGAUUAUUAUUUUAUUAUUAGCAAUACGUUUGGAAGGUUGAAUAGUUUAUGUUGUAUGUUCGUUUUUUUAAAUUUUAACACGGUCAAUGGGCCCCAAAGUCAUUUUUAUGGAGGUUUUAUGUGUCCAAAUGAACAUACAGUAUAAAAUAAAAUGGCGCUUGUCCGUUAGAAUAUAAAUCGUAAAUGAUUGAGAUAGUAGACUUUCUAACAACGCAUUAUUAUAUUUCCUAGGGAAUACUUUCAUUGAUGGAAAGAGGGGUAACUGGGGUAAGUCUAAAAGUUUGGUCUAUCUGCCCGUGGAGAUUUUUAACGGAAGUGCAGUGGACAUGCAGUGAAACAUUCACUAAAACAUGUUCUCACGGCCCCUCUUGAGUAUACGUUACUGAAUGACGUAAAACGUACAUUAUAGAUACAUUAUUAUUUUGUUCCUUGUAGAUUAUAAGGUUAUUGAAAUUAUUUUAUUCGAUAAAACAAUAUCUAUCUGUCUAUAUAAUAUUGGAUUGAUACUUAAUUUUAAAUUUCUCCUCGUUUUCGUAGAAAAAAAAAAAAAAAAUAGUGAAAAAUAUCUGUGUUGUUAUUUGUCAUUUUUAUCAGCCGUAGAAACAUAUCGACGACGACUGUGUAACUGAUUUUCGUUUUUAAAGGAUUCUACACAGGCAAAACGUGCGAUAUCUGAUUCAACUAACGGCCUACGUAUAGCAAAAACAAUUUUAAAUCAUAUUUGCACGGCCCAAGUAGAACACGCUUUGAUCAUUUGUAUUUUAAUUUUGUAUAAUAUAGGUGCUUUUAAUCUAAAAUGAAAAUUAAGUAAAUUAUGCUCAGGCCACGUUAGUGCUUUUUUUUGAUACUGUUUUAGCUGGAUUGAAACAAAAAAAUGAAGGUUUUGAGUCCUAUUAAAUUUUCGGGCUUCGUAUAAUAUAAUAUGGAUUAAUAUUACAGGUGGUAUAAAGUGAGGUGAGAAAUUGUACCGGUAGGUAUUUGUUAUACGAAUUGAUUGUUCGGCAUACGAGAGGGAAACAUUCAAAAAUUUUCUCUUUGAUAACCUGAAAUAUGUAUAUCCCCUCCCCUUCUGGGCGUAUAUAAUAAUAAUAAUUCAUAUGUGUACAUUGGGUGUUUAUUCUAAACAUGUGCGUCAACAAAAUUAACUCCAAUUCAGCCGGCCGUGCAAACGGUUAUUACGAAUGUUAGUCACGAUCUCUGCGAUCUGUAUAAUAUAAUAACCGAGAGGAGAUGGGGUUGGAUCUUUCCUCGUAUAUAUGUCUGAUAAGAAAAAAAACCAUUGAAAAUAACCUCAAAUAAUCCAAUGAUACCUCUUCUGGGGCUUUAAUCGAAAAUAACCUUCGAAACUAGAAGAAAAAUGAUACAUUGUUUCUUCAACGGACUUUUGCUUAUCUGUUGCGACUUAAAAACUAAAAUAAAAUAAAACAAGAAGGUAGGUAUCACAAUGAGUAGAAUAAGUAGACUGUUCAUGCAAAUCAUGUAUUUUGGUUCUUUUGAUCGUUUUCGCGAAAAAAUUCACCGAACAAGUAAUAGGAAAACAGUGGUGUUUUACUCAGACAGAGAAACUAUGGGACUUUAGCUCCACCAUUGGCUAUUUUAAAAGUACAAAAAAAUUAUAUAAAAUACUCGGUAGUAAAAACUUAGUUCUGAUAACUAGACCAAAUAAUCAUUGUAAAUUUGCACUGUACCUAUAAACGUAUAUUGUUAUACAACAGUUAUUACGUAGCUGCAGAUACUAUGCAUCGUACAAAAUUAUGUAUUUUGAAAAAUAACCUCAAGAAAAAGGCAUUUUAUAAUAAAAGUAAAGAUAUAUUUUGCUCACAUUUAUAAUAGAAAUUAAUUUAAUUUAAUAUAUUUAGCCCUCCCUUUUAUCGGGGACGGUCAAACGGGAGAUGAGGAGGAUCUAUUGUCCCCAUUACCUGAUAUUUUGUUUAAAAUAUGUAUAGUAUUAUAUUUUAUAUAUUAUGUAAACAAUAAUAGUCCUUUAGUCUUUGAAAAUUAUCUUUAUCCCCUCUCCUCUCAUGAAAAAAUCAUUUAACUGCCACUGUUCCUUCCCAUUGAAAAAAAAUGCCGGAAAAAUGCAUACGUUUUUGCCAUAACUGUAUUUCUCAUUUUUACCAAAGAACGAAACCAUAAUAAUCCAUUGGGCUAUUAUGAUUUAAUAUUACAUAACGUUAAGUUUUUUAAUUUGUAUACAGUAUGUAAGUGUGUUUUAUAUUAACGUGAAACGCAAUUUUACAAUAGCUUUUAUUUUUCGUGUAUCUGCAAAGUUCGUACGCAUUAUUAUUAUUAUCGCUCACGCAGAUAAAAAUAAUUAAAUCAAGGGGAAGGGGGGGACGUUCAUACGUAAUUUGUUCCAUCACGCGUUCUGUUUGUGAAGCGGGAAAAACGGUUGAAUAUUCAUCAUUAACGAGUGGGUCACUAUUUGUUUUUUUUUUUUUUUAGAUUGAGGGUAGUGAGGAUUUUUUUUCCAUAAUAUAAAACGUUUUAUCGGAAAUUAUAAUUUAAAAAUUAAACACUAGGUAUUUAAGCCGCGCAGAAAACGGAAUCACGAGUCAUUGUUUUAUUUUAAAUUUUUUGAAUGUUAUUUGAGGUCACUUACGCGGAUAAAAAGUAAUAAAUAUACGCACAGAGCCGAGGAAAUAAUAUAAGUAGGUUGUCCUUUUUUUUUUUUUUGUAACGCGCGUAUUAGCUAGUCGAGUUGAAAGAGUCGAAAGACCGAAAAAGAGGGCGGAAAACUUCCAUCCGAGAAGAGAUGUCGAGAACAUAGAUUUUUGUUUUUAAAGAUUUGUUUCAAAAAUAUUGUAAAAGUCAUCGCCGGGCGUUCCGAGACCCGCAAAAAGUGAAUUACCUAAAUACAUUGGGCACGACCCGUUUCGCUCAAACUCGACCUUUACCAUUUCGCUCAAAUACAUUUUAGUGAUUUUAAAAGUUAAGUUGACAAUGGUUUUUGAAUAAUAAUAGUCGAAACACAUAAACAAUUAUUUAAAAAGCCAUCUAAAAAUACAAAUUUAUACCUCGUAGUUACUUCACCAGACCUAAAAUAUAAUAGUAUACGUUUUUCAUUAUAUUUUUGUCUUUCUUUUUUUUUUUUUUUUCUGGGAAUUUCAACGUUACAAAUUUGUAUAAAAUGUUACAUUUUUAAAUAACUUUUUCUAUGUGUUUUAACUAUCGUUAACGACGAUUGCCAACUGAAUAUUAAAAUGACCAAAAUGUGUGUGGGCGAAACGGGCAUUUGGACGAAACGGGAUAGGUCGAAUUUGGGCCGAACGGGUCUUGCCUCAAAAUUAUGUAUAAUAUUAUUAAAACGGCGGCGGUUCCGCGUCAAAAGGUUUCCGGAACGAAACGGAAUACAAUAAUAUUAUUAUAAUAGUGUCUCGCGGUGCAUAGAGAGUAGGAAAAUCGAAUUCCAGAUUUCGGGUAUUGUUCGAUGCCGAACGCGAGAGACGACCGGUCGAUCACGUCGGGGAUGUCUUUUUUUUUGUCUAUAACGCUCAAUACACAAGUAUAUGUAUAUUAUAUGACUACAUGUUAAUUCCUACAAAUGUUAUCUUUUUUCCUGAAUUUAAUAUACGUAGGCAGUGUAAACUUCUACAUAGUCCCUGUUUACUUGUCAAACAGAUGGUGUAAUUUUUUUUAUAUUUUCAAGUUUGAGAUUGGUAUAAUAUGUUCAUUGCAUAUAACAACGUUUCCUACAUACUAUAUUUUUAGUUUGUAUGUCUUGUAAGUAUGUUUUUUUUCUUUUGCAG